UAAGAAUCAGCUUUUUAAAAGCCUCUGUCUGGGUAUAUCCUCCCCCACAGGACAUGCAGCAGGGUGACUUUUUGGAUCAAACUGGUGACCUGAGAAGAGAAAGCUGCCCAGCUAUAUUGUAUUAGACAUCUAGACAGACUUGAUCUCUCAUCCUUGGUAGAGCAAAGCUGUUUUUAUCUUCCCCUUGUGCUGUCCCGGCUCUCUCAGGUUGGCUGUCUGCAGCAAGAGCCUGGGAUUUUGGGCUUUCCCUGUGCCCAGCAUUGUGAUGGGGUGCUCUACACGCCCUGCUGAACCAGCCUCUGCUGUGUGAGCACCAACAACUGCCUUCAAAGUGCUCUGUGCUCUGGAGCCGUCACUGGGAGGGGAAGAGCUUCUGUCCCCUCUCCGCUGGUUAGGAAAGAGGAGUGCUUCACCUGUUUUUCUGCUCUUCUGCCCCCCAGCCAGUGGCACCUGGCUUCCCAGAGCCUCACGGGUGAGGUUGCCAGCAUCGUUCCCACUUUGAAAAACCGGACACAAAAAACAAGGCAGAAAGCACUGAGGUGGUCAGUGUUAGAGGCACAGCCCGGUCCCCUGGUCUCCAGCCAGGCACGCUAGUUUUCUAGCAUGGAUGAGUUGCGCUGGAGGCUGUUUUGUGCCUUCUGGCACCCUCCGUCACGGGGAGGGGAGGGAUGCCCCUGGGCAGCUGUGUGCUGGGGGCAUUUCCUUUUUGUCAUCAGAGCUGGAAGUCGUGCUGAGUGGCCGAUUAAUAAAUUACUAAUGGUGUUGCAUGUGGUAUGUAGCUGUUUGCUGGUCUUCUCUUGGCCUGCCCCCAUGCACAUCCCAGGCAGCGGGGAGCUUGUCCAGGAACAGCCUGUAGCCUGGUUUGGGUCACCGGUCUGUUUUUUCCAGCCUCCUAUGCUCUUCUGUAUAUCCCUUGCUGUUUGGUGUGGUCCCCGGGCUUCCUAAAAAUCUGCUCCAUCCUCUUGUCCUUGUUAAAUUGAAAAGCUUAUUCAAGCAAAUGCAACUUAGGCUGUUUUGACAGCCUCCUUUGCCUUUUCAAAUUCUGGGCUCCUUUAAACCUCUCUGUGAUAAUACUGUGCAUUUAAAGCACCUCAGUGGUCUCCAUCAGAAACAGGAAGGUAUUUUUAAGUCAUUGUAAAAGAACUUGGUAAAACCAGUGUCCUUUCAAUAUAUUGCAAGGGUUUGAUUUCCCCGCCCCCACCCCCCCCCCCCCCGAUGGUAUGCAGUUACCUAAUGCUCACAGCACCGUGAUGUCCCUAGGAGUGCUGCAAAGAAGAUGCUGUUUUAUCGCUGUGAUCCUGUUUUCCUUACCAACCCUUUAGUUAGUAAAGGGGCAAAGAUCUGUGAUGUUGGAUACCAGAGCUCUCUCGCUGCAUUUAUGCCCUGUACGGAUGAUCUUGUUCUCAUCUUUGCAUGAGAUCACAAGCAGGGAGUGGUGUUUCACAAGCUUUCAUCCAGCUGCAGCUGAACGGAUUCAGGUGUUAGGGGGUUGUGCAUCCUGAGAGGAGGUGGCAGCUUGGUUUCCACCUAGGUCUUUGGCUUGAGAACAUCUUGGUCUUUCACGGGACAAAAUUACGAUUGUAAAAGUUGCAAGGCAGGACCCUAAACUAUUGAAUGGCGUUUAUUUUCCUUCCUGCCUUGGAAUUCCAGGAACUUUCCUUCAGCUUUGGGGUAGGAAAAUGUUUCCUUUGUUAUGCAGAGGCAGAGUCCUGGGCUAAAAGCUAAUGAGUGUCAUUAGAGCAGAUAAAGCAGAGAUACUAGGCAGCAAAUGGCUUCUCUUUAAAGCUAAACCAAACCUGUUAGUUCGGGGUUUCAGCCUGAACUUCGGUUUCGUCCUGUUUCUGAGUGGGAGGCAGUAAGGGGGGGUGAGGUGAGGCAUGCCAGGAGACAUGAUGUCAAAUCUGGCUUUUGAGCAGAUCUACCUGGGCAGCCUCACCUGCUUUCCUUGGGCAGAGCUCAAGACACAGAAGUGCCUUAUUCUCAAAGGUUUCAAAGGUCAUUUGGGUCCCUAAAUACCCAUGGGGAUUUGGACUUAGUUUCUACUCUGCUCUUAAAGAAGGAUUUAAUAGCACUUUCUUAUCCCCUGGAUAUCACAUACACGAUGAUAUCAAGAUAGACAAGAGAGACAAAGACCAAAAAAGUCACUGGCGAGAUCCAGAAGUUUGAUAUUUAAGUAAAACUUUCUUCAUACUUUUUUUGUUUCCAUGCAGGUGGAGUUAGUUUGCAGCUUUUGCUGUUCGUGCAGCUGUUCCAGUUGUGCUUAAACUGGUUUCCAAAAGGGUCCUGGUCAAUUUAAAAAGGUUAUCUGUAAGCAGCUGGGAAGCUGGAUUUCUAUCAAAAGUUAGGAAGUUGGACUUGUUACUUUUUGGACCAAGGGCAGGGGGCUUCUCCAGCAACCUGGCCCUUUCCUUGCCACAAGCAGACACAAUGUGUCGAGCUCUAAACCUGAACUGGUUUCUUUGUGGAGUACAAGACAUUGUGAUUCCUAAACAGAGUAUGAAAGCUGUUUCCUAUGCCUCAGAAACAGGCCAUUGUAAUGGGGUUUUGAUACUGAUGGUGUCAGUUAAUGUUUUAAAGCUAUUGCAGAUGCUCCCAUGGCUUAAGGACACUUACUCUUGGCUCUCAGCUCAUUUUCUUCAGGUGUCUGAUAGCAGGUUCCUGGCUGAGCUGUGAUGUGACUUCUGGCAGUUGACCUGACAACCUUGGAGCAGUUAAAGACCAACUGCGAGGUGCUCUAAGGGGUCAUGACUCAAAGGCCAGGCGACCUGCAAGCUGGGAAAGCUGGCUUCGCCCAUCUGUCCUUCAACUACCAUGUGCCAGUGACUUUACACCAUGCUGCAGUUCUGAAGCUUUCUGAAUAUCAACUAUACUUCUUCAUCCUUCCCCCCUGCGCCAAGAAGUCACAAACGUCCCCACCUUAGAGUUACUUUGUGACUGAUAAUUUCUCAUUUCUAUAUAGGGAAAGCCAAAGUAAGCAGCAGAGCUCAAGAAAGAGCUGAUGGCUCCUAGCGCCAGUGGCUCAGUCUCUCGUACCUCCAGGGACCAUCAUGCCUUGUUAGGAAAAAAGAAAAGGAAAAAAGGACUAUUGUGUGCAGGGAGACUGUCCUGGCUUAGUAGAGAAGAGAGGAGGGGGUCUGGUGCUCACAGGGUGUCAGAAUUGGAACGGGA